GCCCAAGUAGCUCAGGGGUAGAGCGCAUCCUUGGUAAGGAUGAGGUCGCGGGUUCGAAUCCCGCCUUGGGCUCCA
rnacentral:tRNA from 2 species